rnacentral:rRNA from 1 species
AUGCACGCUGGCGGCGUGCCUCAUACAUGCAAGUCGAGCGAACAGACGAGGAGCUUGCUCCUCUGACGUUAGCGGCGGACGGGUGAGUAACACGUGGAUAACCUACCUAUAAGACUGGGAUAACUUCGGGAAACCGGAGCUAAUACCGGAUAAUAUAUUGAACCGCAUGGUUCAAUAGUGAAAGACGGUUUUGCUGUCACUUAUAGAUGGAUCCGCGCCGCAUUAGCUAGUUGGUAAGGUAACGGCUUACCAAGGCAACGAUGCGUAGCCGACCUGAGAGGGUGAUCGGCCACACUGGAACUGAGACACGGUCCAGACGCCUACGGGAGGCAGCAGUAGGGAAUCUUCCGCAAUGGGCGAAAGCCUGACGGAGCAACGCCGCGUGAGUGAUGAAGGUCUUCGGAUCGUAAAACUCUGUUAUUAGGGAAGAACAAAUGUGUAAGUAACUAUGCACGUCUUGACGGUACCUAAUCAGAAAGCCACGGCUAACUACGUG